rnacentral:lncRNA from 1 species
CCAGUGUUAACCCCGUCAGCCAGUCUGAGGAUGUUUUGGUCCUUUUACUGUGUUCCUAUUUAAAGCUGAUUGAUUGCUUUGUGUUUCUUCUCCUGUAAUUUCAUCACUGUGAUUGCACUGUUUGUGUCUUUCUAUAACAGUACCAUCAGCACUGAAAAAUGUGAAGUCAAGGACGUUGGUGUCCAGACAGAGGUUUCCUGCCCUCCAAACUCGCUGCUGUUUUUCUGCACGAAAAAGGUGACCUUAGAUGAUGAGCCGCGUUGUCCUGAAGUCAAUGAGAGAGAUGAGCCAGUUUCCAGGCCGUGUACCCCAGCAGGUCACGGUGGUAGCCAGGGAGCCAUGCUAAGAGACCACGUCACACACUGCUGACUAACAUACGAUGAUGAGUUCGUCAAUGAUGAGCAGUGGCAGAGAACAGCUUACCUGCUGUUCUAUGAAAAACAGGUGAUUUCUCCCAUCAAACAGCUGGAUUGUAAAUGGUAAAUGGCCUGUAUUUGUAUAGUGCUUUACUAGUCCCUAAGGACCCCAAAGCGCUUUACAUCCAUCCAUUCACACACACAUUCACACACUGGUGAUGGCAAGCUACAUUGUAGCCUCAGCCACCCUGGGGCGCACUGACAGAGGCGAGGCUGCCGAACACUGGCGCCACCGGGCCCUCUGACCCUGGAUUGUGUUGGAUACUGUCGUUUAUAUAAGAUUUUAUUGUAAUGUAUAGUAUAUAAGACUUUUAUUUUAUUUGUAUCUUUUUAUGUUUAUGUUGUUUAGUGUACACCGAGGGCCGUGGGAGCGUUGCAAUUACAAAUUCUUGUGUAUGACCUGUCCAUAUGUUUUUUUGACAAAAAGAUGACUUUGAAUUUGAG